UACAGAGGUCUCAAGCGUUGUUCGGAUUCAUUGGGCGUAAAGGGUGCGUAGGUGGCGCGGUAAGUCGGGUGUGAAAUUUCGGAGCUUAACUCCGAAACUGCAUUCGAUACUGCCGUGCUUGAGGACUGGAGAGGAGACUGGAAUUCAUGGUGUAGCAGUGAAAUGCGUAGAGAUCAUGAGGAAGACCAGUGGCGAAGGCGGGUCUCUGGACAGUUCCUGACGCUGAGGCACGAAGGUCAGGGGAGCAAACGGG
rnacentral:rRNA from 1 species